rnacentral:rRNA from 1 species
GACGAACGCUGGCGGCGUGCUUAACACAUGCAAGUCGAACGGAAAGGCCCUGCUUUUGUGGGGUGCUCGAGUGGCGAACGGGUGAGUAACACGUGAGUAACCUGCCCUUGACUUUGGGAUAACUUCAGGAAACUGGGGCUAAUACCGGAUAGGAGCUCCUGCUGCAUGGUGGGGGUUGGAAAGUCUCGGCGGUUGGGGAUGGACUCGCGGCUUAUCAGCUUGUUGGUGGGGUAGUGGCUUACCAAGGCUUUGACGGGUAGCCGGCCUGAGAGGGUGACCGGCCACAGUGGGACUGAGAUACGGCCCAGACUCCUACGGGAGACAGCAGUGGGGAAUAUUGCACAAUGGGCGGAAGCCUGAUGCAGCAACGCCGCGUGCGGGAUGACGGCCUUCGGGUUGUGAACCGCUUUCGCCUGUGACGAAGCGUGAGUGACGGUAAUGGGUAAAGAAGCACCGGCUAACUACGUG